CUGGAGGAGAGGGAAAAGGUGGAUGAACGAGGAUGGACAAGGAUGCUCGGCCUGGGCCCCAUGCGAGAAAAAACACCCCGUGUGGCAUAUUCAAGUCGACUGUUGGUCAGGGACUUUACAGUCUCACAAAUAGAUGCUAUGUGGCAUCCUGUGUGGUUACAACAAUCAGAGAUGGUUUGGGAGUCUGUUUCUGUCUUUGGUUAUCUAGCUGUAUGAGUGUUAAAUACCUGUCAUAAAGCUAGAUAACCGAAUGUAGGAAUGACUUCCAGAAUGAACCUUUAAAGAGAAUGAAAGAAAGAAAGCAAGAAAGGCAACGAAAACCGGCCUUUACCUCAAAGAGUUUCAAUUAGUGCCACUCUUGAAAAGAUGGUGGAAGCAUUGUUAAGCGAAAAAGAGGACGAGGUCGACGCGUUUCCUCCGCCCUUUCCUUUUUGCCCAGAAGCGAUGGGAUGCCAUCUGCGUUGCCAGUGACAGACACUGUGCCCAUUGCCAAGAGGCAGACAAAGACCUUGGCCGAUCUCGGAUCCUGGCCGCCGUCUGGAAAGCCAUCUUGGGAGAUGUUGCCGCGAUAUCCAAAAUGGCUGCGCUGACGUACAAGGAUGGUGAUGACAAACUGUGGAACAUCCAGCCUGCGUGCAUAUUUUGGACCAAAAUAUCAUCACCAUUUUUUUUUCAAAGAUAUAACUCAUUUCAACCUUAAACUAAGAUUUGUUGUUAUUUUUAAACCUUUCUGCACGUUGUAAUGUGUUAUCUUAAAUAAAAACAAUGAGAAAUAUGUGCACAAUGUUUUCAGUGUGAUUUGAAGUCUUAAUAAUGAAAAAUGAUGGAUACUUUUGAAUUAAAUUAAAUAAACACA